GCUGAGGCCCCAGGAUGGGACCGCGGCCUGUCAGGUAGUAGGUGGGGUAACGGCCCACCUAGCCUACGACGGGUACGGGCCCUGAGAGGGGGAGCCCGGAGAUGGGCACUGAGACAAGGGUCUAGGCCCUAAGGGGCGCAGCAGGCGCGAAGAUUCCGCAAUGCCCGAAAGGGCGACGGAGUGAACCCGAGUGCCACCCGCUGAGGGUGGCUGUUCCCCUGUGUAAAAAGCAGGGGGCAGGAAGGGGAGGGCAAGGCUGGUGGCAGCCGCCGCGGUAAAACCAGCUCCCCGAGGGGUUCCCACGCAUACUGGGCCUAAAGCGUCCGUAGCCGGCCCUGUAAGUCUGCAGUUAAAUCCGCCUGUAGACAGGCGGGUUGCUGCAGAUACUGCAGGGCUAGGGAGCGGGGGGAGCCGGGGGUAUUCCCGGGGGAGCGGUAAAAUGCGUAGAUCCCGGGAGGACCACCGGUGGCGAAGGCGCCCGGCUUGAACGCGUCCGACGGUGAGGGACGAAAGCUGGGGGAGCAAACCGGAUUAGAUACCCGGGUAGUCCCAGCCGUAAACGAUGCCGGCUAGGUGCUGGCCAAGGUUUCGGCCUUGGCCAGUGUCGAAGCGAAGGCAUUAAGCCGGCCGCCUGAGGAGUACGGCCGCAAGGCUGAAACUUGAAGGAAUUGACGGGGGGGCACCACAAGGGGUGAAUGCCUGCGGCUUAAUUGGACUCAACGCCGGGAAUCUUACCGGGGGCGACAGCAGGAUGAAGGUCAGGCUGAAGACCUUACCAGACGCGCUGAGGGGUGGUGCAUGGCCGUCGCCAGCUCGUGCCGUGAGGUGUCCUGUUAAGUCAGGCAACGAGCGAGACCCCCGCCCCUAGUUGCCAGCGGCCUCCUUCGGGAGGGACCGGGCAAACUAGGGGGACCGCCUCCGAAGAGGAGGAGGAAGGUGGGGGCUACGGCAGGUCAGUAUGCCCCUAAUCCCCCGGGCCGCACGCGGGCUGCAAUGGGCGGGACAGCGGGAUG
rnacentral:rRNA from 1 species